rnacentral:lncRNA from 1 species
GGAAGCGGAGAGAACGACCGCCGCCUCAGCGCCUCGGCCCCGGACGCCCCCAGCGGCCGCACCCUGCAGCGCACCCGCGGGGCGGAAGCAGGAGCAGCGGGAGGGCGGGGAAAUUCGGGGCGGGAGGGUGCCUCCGCGGGGAAUCUAACCCACUACGGCAGUUAGCCGCGCGCCACGCUUCUCGGGUUAAAAAAAGACAAACCCGGCCAAAAAAGCUUACUUUUGCAGCUUCCUCUGCGCCUUUCCUUUCAGUUUCCUUGCACCCCCUCUUUUCUUCCCUUUCCUGUGAUUUCUUUCCCUGGGGUUUAAGAAUCAUGGGUUAAAAAGGGCAAACAAUCUACUACGUUGUUUGGGUCAAACGGAGAUCCAAGAACUAAAAUUUCCUUUCGAGUCUCUAAAUUCACGAGACUUCAAAUGUAAAACGAAGACAAGAUAGGAAAAAGGAAAGGGAUUAAGGUGAUGAAGGCCUUCGAAGUGCCCAUGCAAGGCACUGCUCAGCCAUUUUCUCGUGUUGAUGCCCUGUCUAAUCUUUGUCACCCAGGAUAAAAGAUAAUAAUCUGUCUAUAUAAAGAAGAGAAAUACUUAAAAUCAAAUUCUCCAAGGCAGGCUUUAAAAAUCUCCCUAGAUGAAUAGCAAUCAUUUGCCUUCUGUAGGCAUAUGCAGUGUCUACUGUUAAAUGUGUAUGACUUAGUUACAUAAUGUUCCUGUUUUGUUUGUUUGCUUUGCAGUCCUGGGGAUUGAACCUAGGGGUCCUGGAUGUACAUGCCAGCUAAGCUACACCCCCCCCCCCCCCCCUUUGUUUUGAGACAGUCUUAUCAAAUUGUCCAGGCUGGCCUCAAACUUGUGAGUCUCCUGCCUCGGCCUCCCAACUAGCAGGAACUACAGAUGAAAGAACUGAGGCAUGGGGAAAUUAAGCAACUCUUACAAGAUUACCCAAUCGGUCAAAUGUUAAAUAGUGCUGAGUUGGACUACCUUUAACCAGAGAAUGGGGAAACGUUCAUGAUACGUUUUGGAAUUAUACUCACCGGGACUGUGUAAGGAAUGAGUGGAUGUGGAGAAUGAAAGAUAAAGGACAAGAAUGGCUCCCAGGUUUCUGGCUUGGACAUCUGUAUAGAAGUGAUAUUGAGGGGGCUGGGGAUUUAGUUCAGUGGCACCGCACCUGCCUCGCAAGUGCCAGGUCCUGAGUUAGAUCCCUGGCACCUAAAUAAAUAAAUAAAUAGAUAGAUAGAAUUGAUAUUGAGGAGGACAGGAAUUGUAUAUAGGCUUCACAGAGACUUCUGCUUAAUGAUGCUUUUUAAGAGUCUCUAUUUUAAUAGUAAAAUAGUAGUUAGCAUGGGCCAAGGUGAACCUUUCUAUUAAUUAUAGGCUAAAGAAUACCUCCCCAGGGACCAAACUGUCUAACUCCCAAACAAUAGCUGCAGUUGAAAUAUCAGCC